rnacentral:rRNA from 1 species
UACGAAGGGGGCUAGCGUUGUUCGGAAUUACUGGGCGUAAAGCGAGUGUAGGUGGUUGCCGUAGUCAGGCGUGAAAGCCUUGAGCUCAACUCAAGAAAUGCGCUUGAUACUGGGCAGCUAGAGGACCGGAGAGGAUAGUGGAAUUCCCAGUGUAGUGGUGAAAUACGUAGAGAUUGGGAAGAACACCAGUGGCGAAGGCGGCUAUCUGGACGGUUUCUGACACUAAGACUCGAAAGCGUGGGGAGCAAACAGG